rnacentral:rRNA from 1 species
GACGAACCUUGCUAACGUUAUUCGGAAUUACUGGGCUUAAAGGGUGCGUAGGCGGUGCGGCAAGUUGGGAGUGAAAUCUCUGGGCUUAACCCAGAGGCUGCUUCCAAAACUGCUGUGCUUGAGUGUGGGAGAGGCGCGUGGAAUUGCAGGUGUAGCGGUGAAAUGCGUAGAUAUCUGGAGGAACACCGGUGGCGAAGGCGGCAUCCUGGACCGGCAUUGACGCUGAGUGAGCGAAAGCUAGGGGAGCAAACGGG